CAACCCUCAAGCCCGGCUUGUGUGAUGGACGAACGUCCUGCCUUUAGGGGCGGGACGCGUCCGAAAAGCAGUGGCUAGGCCGCGACUUCGGCGCCUGAGCGAAUGGGAUUUCCAGCGCUUCUAGGACCGACCGGCCCCUAGCCUCCAAACAAACAGUCCUGACGGACUUCUUA
rnacentral:misc_RNA from 1 species